AAGACAACCAAUUACUCUGCUUACCUGAAUGUGUUUCUGCAGAAAUUUAGAACCAGCUGGCAAUAGUGAUGACAUUUUAUGAGCCUUAAGGACAACUGAGGUCAUAUGGUCCCUCAAAAUGGCUACAAAA
ensembl:snoRNA